AUUGAACGCUGGCGGCAGGCCUAACACAUGCAAGUCGAGCGAGCGGCGGACGGGUGAGUAAUGUAUGGGGACUGCCCGAUAGAGGGGGAUAACUACUGGAAACGGUAGCUAAUACCGCAUACUAUCGGAUAACCCAUAUGGGAUUAGCUAGUAGGUGAGGUAAUGGCUCACCUAGGCGACGAUCCCUAGCUGGUCUGAGAGGAUGAUCAGCCACACUGGGAGUGAGACACGGCCCAGACUCCGACGGAGGCAGCGGUGGGGAAGAUUUUACAAGGGGCGCAAGCCGGAGGCAGCCCGGGGGCGUGUAGGAAGAAGGCCGUAGGGUUGUAAAGUACUUGCGGUCGGGAGGCGUUCCCGACAGAAGAAGCACCGGCUAACGCCGUGCCAGAAGCCGCGGUAAUAC
rnacentral:rRNA from 1 species